GGAAAUUAUAAUAGUUUAGUGGUUAGAGUAUUAGUUUCCAAUUCUAAAAUCUUGAGUUUGAAUCCUAGCAGUGACAAUUUUCA
rnacentral:tRNA from 1 species